rnacentral:rRNA from 1 species
AACGAACGCUGGCGGCAUGCCUAACACAUGCCAGUCGAACGAGACCUUCGGGUCUAGUGGCGCACGGGUGCGUAACGCGUGGGAACCUGCCCUUAGGUUCGGAAUAACUCCCCGAAAGGGGGCCUAAUACGGGCUAAUGCCUCCGGUCAAAAGAUUUUUCGCCUUUGGAUGGGCCCGGGUUGGUUUAGCUUGUUGGUAGGGUAAAAGCCUACCAAGGCGACGAUCCUUAGCUGGUUUGAGAGGAUGAGCAGCCACACUGGGACUGAGACACGGCCCAGACUCCUACGGGAGGCAGCAGUGGGGAAUAUUGGACAAUGGGCGAAAGCCUGAUCCAGCAAUGCCGCGUGAGUGAUGAAGGCCUUAGGGUUGUAAAGCUCUUUUACCCGGGAUGAUAAUGACAGUACCGGGAGAAUAAGCUCCGGCUAACUCCGUG